rnacentral:rRNA from 1 species
GAUGAACGCUGGCGGCGUGCCUAAUACAUGCAAGUCGAGCGAACAGACGAGGAGCUUGCUCCUCUGACGUUAGCGGCGGACGGGUGAGUAACACGUGGAUAACCUACCUAUAAGACUGGGAUAACUUCGGGAAACCGGAGCUAAUACCGGAUAAUAUAUUGAACCGCAUGGUUCAAUAGUGAAAGACGGUUUUGCUGUCACUUAUAGAUGGAUCCGCGCCGCAUUAGCUAGUUGGUAAGGUAACGGCUUACCAAGGCAACGAUGCGUAGCCGACCGGAGAGGGUGAUCGGCCACACUGGAACUGAGACACGGUCCAGACUCCUACGGGAGGCAGCAGUAGGGAAUCUUCCGCAAGGGGCGAAAGCCUGACGGAGCAACGCCGCGUGAGUGAUGAAGGGCGUCGGAUCGUAAAACUCGGUUAUUAGGGAAGAACAAAUGUGUAAGUAACUAUGCACGUCUUGACGGUACCUAAUCAGAAAGCCACGGCUAACUACGUGC